rnacentral:rRNA from 1 species
CAGUAGCCGCGGUAAUACGUAGGUGGCAAGCGUUGUCCGGAAUUAUUGGGCGUAAAGGGCGCGUAGGCGGACAGUUCAGUCGGGGGUGAAAGCCCGGGGCUCAACCUCGGAAUUGCCUUCGAUACUGGCUGUCUUGAGUAUGAGAGAGGUGUGUGGAACUCCGAGUGUAGAGGUGAAAUUCGUAGAUAUUCGGAAGAACACCAGUGGCGAAGGCGACACACUGGCUCAUUACUGACGCUGAGGCGCGAAAGCGUGGGGAGCAAACAGGAUUAGAUACCCCCGUAGUCCCUGUCUCUUAUAC